CUGAACCAGCCAAGUAGCGUGAAGGAUGACUGCCCUAUGGGUUGUAAACUUCUUUUAUAAAGGAAUAAAGUCGGGUAUGCAUACCCGUUUGCAUGUACUUUAUGAGUAAGGAUCGGCUAACUCCGUGCCAGCAGCCGCGGUAAUACGGAGGAUCCGAGCGUUAUCCGGAUUUAUUGGGUUUAAAGGGAGCGUAGAUGGAUGUUUAAGUCAGUUGUGAAAGUUUGCGG
rnacentral:rRNA from 2 species